UACGUAGGGCGCAAGCGUUGUCCGGAAUUAUUGGGCGUAAAGAGCUCGUAGGCGGUGUGUCACGUCGGCCGUGAAAACCUGCAGCUCAACUGCAGGCUUGCGGGCGAUACGGGCAUCACUGGAGUUCGGCAGGGGAGACUGGAAUUCCUGGUGUAGCGGUGAAAUGCGCAGAUAUCAGGAGGAACACCGGUGGCGAAGGCGGGUCUCUGGGCCGAUACUGACGCUGAGGAGCGAAAGCGUGGGGAGCGAACAGG
rnacentral:rRNA from 1 species